rnacentral:rRNA from 1 species
AUUGAACGCUGGCGGCAGGCCUAACACAUGCAAGUCGAACGAGUGGCGGACGGGUGAGUAAUGUCUGGGAAACUGCCUGCUGGAGGGGGAUAACUACUGGAAACGGUAGCUAAUACCGCAUACCAUCGGAUGUGCCCAGAUGGGAUUAGCUAGUAGGUGGGGUAAAGGCUACCCUAGGCGACGAUCCCUAGCUGGGCUGAGAGGCUGACCGUCCACACGGGAACUGGAACACGGGCCAGACUCCUACGAGAGGCUGCAGGUGGGAAUAUUGCACAAGGGGCGCAAGCCUGAUGCAGCCAUGCCGCGUGUAUGAAGAAGCCCUUCGGGUUGUAAAGUACUUUCAGCGGGGAGGCGUUACCCGCAGAAGAAGCACCGGCUAACUCCGUGCCAGCAGCCGCGGUAAUUC